AGCGAACGCUGGCGGCAGGCCUGACACAUGCAAGUCGAACGAACUCUUCGGAGUUAGUGGCGGACGGGUGAGUAACACGUGGGAACGUGCCUUUUGGUUCGGAAUAACUCAGGGAAACUUGUGCUAAUACCGAAUGUGCCCUUCGGGGGAAAGAUUUAUCGCCAUUAGAGCGGCCCGCGUCCGAUUAGCUAGUUGGUGAGGUAACGGCUCACCAAGGCGACGAUCAGUAGCUGGUCUGAGAGGAUGACCAGCCACACUGGGACUGAGACACGGCCCAGACUCCUACGGGAGGCAGCAGUGGGGAAUCUUGCGCAAUGGGCGAAAGCCUGACGCAGCCAUGCCGCGUGAAUGAUGAAGGUCUUAGGAUUGUAAAAUUCUUUCACCGGGGACGAUAAUGACGGUACCCGGAGAAGAAGCCCCGGCUAACUUCGUG
rnacentral:rRNA from 1 species